GGUUUGUCCCUUCGGAUUUAUCGGAACGAUAUUGAGAAAAUUAGCAUGACCCCGUGCAAGGAUGACACGCACAAAUCGAGGAAUGAUCCAAAUUUUU
rnacentral:snRNA from 1 species